rnacentral:lncRNA from 1 species
GCCAUGAUUUGAUUUGAUCAUGUUGAUUUCACCAAUUGAGAUAUUGGACCAAUCGUAAUGUUGGAUUGUCACCUGAUCAAUUUGAAUUGUACCUCAUGAAUUCUCUCUCCUCUGAUUUUCUCUCUCCACUUGAUUUUAUGAAAUCGAUGAAGAAACUUCGGUCCUAUCACUUCGAAUCUGAUUUGAUCUGAUAGUCAAACUUUGGAUCGUUUAGGUCCUAAUUAGAUUUUGAUUAGAUGAAAUUAGAUGAUCGAACUCAAUCUAAACCGUUGAAAUAUGGUAUUCGUAUUCUUUCUAAUUAUUCAAAUUGAUUCUGUAUAGGAUUGUGGAUGUUUGACCAUGGAUAUCGCGAUAUGAUCUACGAACAAAAUUUUUGGAAGAAAAUUUAUAGAA